CUAUAACACUGCAAAAUUUCGUUGCUUUUGCUGUCCAAAUGCUUUAUGUGGAAGCUGCAUUGAUGUCCAGAGAGGUGUAUUUAACUUGCACUGAACUGCAAUUUUGGUGGCUCUUCCAGCUGAGACCACUUCAGGGACAUGUUUCUUACAGUAUUACAUCGAGUGUAUUCUGGCUCUUCAAGAAGCUAGCUGUAGACUCACACAAGGGAAGUAGGUGUAGUUAUCAAGAAUCUGGAUAUUUGGGCAUCUAGAGCUUCUCAUUCUAUGAAAUUUCUAACUAAAGGGGCUGCUGUUUCUGCCUAUCUAAGACUUCUUUAAGUUGUUGACGUACUAUUCUGGUGUCAAUGUUGUAACAAUGGUUGUUUCGCAUAAACCUUCCCUCCACUUUUUCCUUCUCCAUUUAUGUUCCAACGUAUGUUGUUCAAUGGAUCU